rnacentral:rRNA from 1 species
GACAGAGGUGCCGAGCGUUAGGCGGAAUCACUGGGCUUAAAGCGUGUGUAGGCGGAUCCGUAAGUACCUUGUGAAAUCCCACGGCUCAACCGUGGAACUGCUUGGUAUACUGCGGGUCUUGAGCCACCUAGGGGCAAGUGGAACAAACGGUGGAGCGGUGAAAUGCGUAGAUAUCGUUUGGAACGCCAAUGGUGAAAACAACUUGCUGGGGGUGUGCUGACGCUGAGACACGAAAGCCAGGGGAGCAAACGGG